CCUACGGGUGGCAGCAGUGAGGAAUAUUGGUCAAUGGGCUUACGCCUGAACCAGCCAAGUCGCGUGUGGGAAGAAUGCCCUAUGGGUUGUAAACCCCUUUUGUCAGGGAGCAACGCCGGCUACGUGUAGCCGGACUGAGAGUCCCUGACGAAAAAGCAUCGGCUAACUCCGUGCCUGCCGCCGCGGUAAUACGUAGGAUGCGAGCGUUAUCCGGAUUGAUUUGGUUUAAAGGGAGCGUAGGCGGAAUGCCAAGUCAGCGGUAAAAUCGCGGGGCUCAACCUCGCUCCGCCGUUGAAACUGGCGGUCUUGAGUGGGCGAGAGGGAUGCAGAAUGCGUGGUGUAGCGGUGAAAUGCGUAGAUAUCACGCAGAACUCCGAUUGCGAAGGCAGCAUACCGGCGCCCGACUGACGCUGAGGCACGAAAGCGUGGGUAUCGAACAGGAUUAGAUACCCCGGUAGUC
rnacentral:rRNA from 1 species